AGUAAUUGAUCACUGCAUUGAAAUAUUUAACUUAUUAAUUAAUGAAUAACCUCUUGCUUAAAAGAGCGGUCCAAAUUCACCUAAAAAAAAGUAGUUGACCACCGCAUGAUUUUAGUUGCUCUAACAUAAGCCGAAGUUCAUCGCCAGAAAAGAAGAAAACAAUGGCGGGCAUGCUGCAAGCAGCUGGUGCUACUCUUUCUGUUUCAAGUCUUGUAAUAAUUCUGAUGAUUCUGCUCAACUCAACUUCAUAUGCAGCAGCAAUAAGUGCUUCACUGCAGUCCCUCAACGGCACUGCCUCCGUCGCCGCCGACGACAUGGAGGUGGAGUUCGUGAUGGGUUCCAAUGUCAAUCGAAUGCUAGCAGGGACCCCACAUCCGAUCGACGCCAGCAAAACCCCUGGCAAACCAGCUGGGAAGUCCCUGCCUCGUAAGAACUCCCCAAAGAAAAAUCAGCCUUGUUCUAUCUACACUCGUGAUUGCCACCGGUACAAGUAAGCCGAGCAUCCAUUACCUCCCAAAUGGGAAAAUAAAGCUUGAAUUAGGGUAAUCAUUAUUUCCUUAAUUUUGUAAUUUUGUUUUCUGCUUCAUUAAUUUUGUAUGCAUGUAAUUGUAAUUGUAAUUGUAAUUGCAAUGUAAUGUCCCACAUAAAUAAAAGUUGCCACUUGUUUGAUAUGUUUUUGUAGGGAAUUUAACUAGUUUAGAUUACUGAAAAUCGUUAUUAUAUUAUAAAGGAUAAUUAAAUAGAUGUAAUAAGAACAAAUUGUUAACUCUAAUUAUGUAUUUGAUGUUAUCAGAACAAUACAGUUUACCAAUUCUUAACAUCAAAGUAUAUUAUAAUAAAGGAGGAAUUAAAUGUAAAGAAGUUAUGAUAUAUACUUGAAGGUAACUUAUCAAAUAUUUCUUUAUAAACGAUAUUUGUUGUCUCAUUUAACUGUUGUCCAUCAUCUUAUGUGAUCAAAACUUUCAAUCCUUGAUGUGAAGUAAUUCUUGAAAAAGCAACAUAUAGUUGACUAUGUGUGAAAAUGGGUUUAGGUAAAUAUAAAUCAACUUUAUCGAGUGUACAACUUUAUCGAGUGUUUGACUUUGACUUUUGUUGAUCGUCAUUUUGUAGCAUAACCUAAUUAAGAAUUGUUAUUUAUUAAAAAUAAAAGGUCAUUUUUUAUUUUUAUUAUUAAUACUAUUUUAAGAUCGUAAGAAUUUAUUGUUAGCAUGUAUACAAGAUAUAAUUUUGUCUUCUACAAUGUUUGAAGCCAAUUGUGUAAUGAGUAGUCUAAUGCUAUUGCAUAAUCCAUAGUUCUAGUUAAUAUUUCUCAAUAACAUUAUUAUUAGGGAUGCCAAUGUGUACCCUAUUACAGGGUACUCGCGGAUACCUGAAUCGGUUAUAUAAGGUUAGGGUACCCUAUAAACAGGUUUAAGAUUGAUCUGGAUAGUGAUUUCAUUACUCGAAUCGAGUUCGAGUAGGGUUUAGGUAUCACCCCUUGGGUACCCGUUAUCCGAAUUCGAUUACUAUUUACAAAUAUUUUAUUAUUAUUUUAAUAAUUAAAUUAAAAAUAUACAAUUUUUAUCAACUUUACAAACAAUUCUUUUUGUUAAAAACUAACAAAUAUAUGAAAAGUAUGGUUACUCUAAUUAUUAAUAUGAUGACAUUAAUAUAUUUAAAUUAAAAAGUUAUUAGAUUGCUAAUCAUGUUUAAAUAAUAUGAAUAUCAUAUCAUAUUAUAAAUGAAUAUAAUUACUAUUAUAUAUAUACUUUUAACAUAAAUAUAUUUACUUUUUAUUUUGUGUUUUAACAUUACAAAAAUUAUGACUUAUAAAAUUAUUAAUUAUAAUAUAUACCAUUAGUUAUAUAAACUUAUAACAUAUAUACUUAAAGAGAGCUUUUGAGAUUAGAAUAGUUUUACAACCUAACUAUUUUUUUUAAUUUCAUGAAAUUAAGGAUAAAUCCAUAUAGUUAAUUAAAUUAAUUCAUGAAACUAUUAUUAUUAAUUAACUUGUAAUGUCCUUCAAUAUAUAUAGUUUAUAUAUUGUGUUAAUUUAUAAGAAAUAUAAUUACUAUUAUAUAUAUACUAAAAUAUUUUUAGUGUAUAUAUACUUUAAAUAUAAACAUACUUAAUUUUUAUUUUGUGUUAACAUUAUAAAAUUAUAACUUAAUAUACAUUAGGUUCAUUUAUAAGAAAUAUAAUUACUAUUAUAUAUAUUAAAAUACUUUUAGUAUAUAUACACUUUAAAUAUUAAUAUAUUUAUUUUCUAUUUUGUGUUAACAUUACAAAAUUAUAACUAAUGAAUUUAUUAAUUAUGUUUGAGAUAUUUGUUUUUGAUUAUAUAAAUUUAAAUUUUAUUAUUUGUGUGUUUUAAUUAAUUUAAUUAUUAGUAAAUUAUAUGAAAUAUGUAAGAGAAAUAUUAUUGUAUAUAGAUACGGAUUCGAAUUCGGGUAAUUGGUUACCCGUAAUAGUAUUUUAAUAAUUUUUUUACAUAAUCAGGUUUUUAAAUGGAUUAGGGUAAUUAUAGGGUAGUGGGGAUAUAUUAGGGUUAGGGUUAGGGUUGUAAUUUUAAAAAAUAUUUGGGUAGUUAAUAGGAUUUGGGUAGUAUAUUUUUUUUAUAGGGUUUGGGUUCGGGUACUUCAAAAUUAACGGGUACCCUACCUCGUUGACAUCCCUAAUUAUUACACAACCUACUUUACGAUUGAGAAUAUGAUAAGGUAUACUAGAAAGCUUGAGUGAGUUUAGGAAUUUUGUUGCGCAAAACAAUUCAUGGUUUGACAUUCGAUAUGUUGAAUGAGAAAUUGUAUCAUUGUUGUAGUUUGUCUUCGUUUCUCCUAGUACUAAGGUAAGAGUAUAUGCAUUUAUUAAAUCAAUUGUUUCACUGCAAAGGGUAACUAAAGAUUCUUUUUUUGUUUUUUUAGAUAUGCAAUAUCAAUAUAGUACUUCUCAAAAUUAUCAUAAACUUCUUUUACAAUAUUUUUUUAUUAGAUCAUUCAUGUGUGGAAGUAGUAAAUCAUUGGGUAGUUUAAUCGAAUAUGAAUCAUCUUCGUUUUCAUGUAUAGUUGUUUCUGAAUUUCCAUCACUUAUAUUUAAUAAUUAUUUUCCAAAUGCCUCAAUUUCAUUCCUUGAUUGUUCAUCUAAAUCAUUUUGUUGUAAUCUUAUGGAUUUUUUUAACAGAAUACUUUACAUUGAGUCCAUAAUGACGAUUGAUUUAUUGUAGCAUGUUGCGUGCUUUGCUUGUGUGAUGUGAAAUGUGUUCAAAUUAAAUGCAAAAUACAAACAAAGACUACAUGCAAGUGUACACAAUCGUAACAAGUAAUAUAGUGAUAAGUUGAGUUUGUCGAUCCCUUGAGAGGUUGGUUUGCUAGUUGUUGCUAAUUACUAAAAUUAAAACAAGUUAAUAUAUCCAAGCACCAAAUUUUGAAAAAUAAUUAAAAAAUAAUAUAAUUAACUAAUUCUAAUAUGAGAAGUGUAAAUAACAAAUUGAGGUGGAAGUAAUGGUUUGAUAAUCUAGGGUUAUGGUAUCCUUUAAUAUUUCACUUGGAAUGGUGUUUUCUUAAUUAUCUAAUCUUAAUGGAAAUUGAUACCCAUCUAAAAUCCUAAAGCAUGUGUAAUUCUCCAUCGAGAUAUUACACAAUUACUUAACUUAAAUGAAUCGCUAUAUGUCUAUAGAAAACAACUAAAUUAAGUUCUUUAAUCUAAGGUUCUAAAUAUUGACUAUAUGUGGCAACUACGCAUAUGCCUACCUUAAUUGCACAUCAAAACACUAAAUUCAAUUAUAAGUGUUGUCACGACCCGGAACUCCUAUCGAGCCCGUGACAACCGUCGCGUUGUCCCGAUCGACACUCAUUACCCAGAUUAUUAACUAGAACCCUGCAAGGCUUUAAUAUUAGUUUCUCUUUUCCCUGGUGAGCAAUCAUUACCAAAUAUCACGUUCUAAAAGAAUUUAAGCUAUUUCCAACUGAAAUCAAUAAAAAAAAUGAUUUCUGUCUCACAGGAGCAUUUUGGUCAUUUUUUCUCAAAAGUUUCAAAACUAGUUAAAAAUGUAGUAUGCAAGUAUAAAACACAUAAUUCAUAAUAAAAAAUAACUUUAAACGUCUAAAACUUUCAUUUAAAAUGAAAUUAUAACUAUUUGAAUAUAAUAAAGAUAUAGAAUAAAAUAUUCAAUUUUUUCAUAAAACAAUAUUUUUAGAACACUGCGUAAAUAAUUUUUACAGCGAAAAAGUAAAAUAAAUUCAUAUAUAUUGUAAUAUAGAUAACCAAAGUAUAAAAUUAAAUUUGUAGUGACAUGUGGGCCCACGAACGACUAGAAGUGUCAAAAGAAUUGAACCUACAUAUUUUGAGGAUGCCAAUCCAAUUGUAGUCCUCGAUGAAAUAAGCUAUUUACUGACUAUCUUGAUGCCUGAAAUGAGUGGAAAGGAGGGUGGUGAGAUUAUAAAAUCUCAGUGAGUAAACAAAUAUCAUUUAAAAUAUCUAAAGGCGAGUAAAAGGAGACUAUUAAAACAUUUCAUCAAACUGUAAUUUAUCAUUUUUAAACUUAUUUCAACCAAAUGAAAUCAAUUUAUUUAAAUCAAGUAAUCAGUAUGGCUUAUGAAUUUCUUAAAAAGCUUGGCUCAUGCCAAAAAUUGUUAUCAUACUCAGUUAUCUGGGAUACCUUGGCCGAAGGCUAUCCCAACUGAGUCUGCCAAGGCUAUUAGAAAGUCAUGUACUCAUAAAACAUGUUUUCAUUUUGAAAAUAUAGUCGUUCCUUGGCGUUGGCUGAGCUCACCUUCACGUGGUCGUUUGGCAUGAAGUGAACUCUAAAAUCAUACCUCGGGAGUUACCCUACUCGCCUCUCCAUCCGAGGUAAAAUAUAACGGGGUUUACCGUGCCCCUCUAAUAGGCUAGUCCACGGAAACCCGUCUACUGCAGUAAGCUAAACCAACCAUACAAUAAAAUUUUGACAGCAUGACAAGGCUAAUAUAUUACUACAUAGCCUGCAAGGGUAAAAUAAAACAAUUUAUACAAUUCAUAAAACACAACCUAGCCAGUCAUGCUAACACAAUAACAUAAGCCAUCAAUUCAAUCUUAAAUUUACAACAUAUUAGUGGUCUCCAAUUACUCUAUUUUCAAAAUCAUCAUUCAGUUUCCAAAACAAUUUAUAAAAUCUUUUUAUUUAAACUCAUUUUUGUUUAUAAAACCUAAAAUUUGCCAUUUAACUCAUUUUCAUAAAAUUUCACCAAAACCGAAUUAAAACAUACUUUAGAUAAUCAAAAUGAUAAUAAGGUUACUCAUAGUACUAGGAGUUCGAUAUACUCCUAUUCCCGAUCUUUGGGCACAAUCUCUUUACCCUUGUUAGAGGGCUCACCACCUAUACAUCAUACGUGACACGAAUUUCAAUAAAUUAUGUCAAUUUAUCAUAAACUGUUUUAGGCUCUCUAAAUCUAAAUGAAUGCAUGUGAUGGGAUGCAAAAUGUCUGAUUAAUCACUUAAAUGUGAUAUUCGACCUAAGUCACACUAUACUCGGCCUAAUCGGCUAAAAUCUCCAAUUUAACUCCAAAUCAAUUCUUCUCACUUUUUACACUCCAAUUAUACCUAAAUUACCUCAGUGACUGUGAAUUAGAUUUAAUUUAUCAGUCCCAGGUCAAUAAUCACACAUGUUUAUACGUUAAGCAAAAAUUCAGAUUUUCACACCAAAAUUUUUCAUUUAAUUUCUAGCCUCACUAAACAUCAAAUAUCACCAAAAUAUCAUAAAAUAUCAUCAAUUUCAGCCACAAUAUCCUCCCUAGAAAAUUCAGCGAAUGAUGGGUGAUGGGAGAAAAAUGAAUUUUUCUUGUUAGUUUGUUUCUAGACAUGAUAAACUAACUAAAACACUAACAUAAGUUAGAAUCAAAUCAAUCCAACUUCAUUCUCUCUCCAUACCCAUUCCAACCAGCCAUGAAUUUACCAUGAAAACAUAAAAUCUAACCAUGAAAAAUGAAAAAGAAAGCAUGGGUAGUGUAAAUCACAAGUCAAAAUUAAGAAAUUUUACCUUUAUUAGCUUAAUCCCUUGAAAUCCCACACUUUUUCUUCAAUUUUCCCACCUAGGGUUCUUGUUUUUUUCCUUUCCUCCUUUGUUCUUCUUUGGCCGGCCAUAUGAAUGAG
rnacentral:lncRNA from 1 species